GGUCGGCUAGCUCAGCUGGUUAGAGCAUCGUACUAAUAUGGUGAUCACAAACCACAUUAGCCAUGCGGAGGUCAUGAGUUCGAUCCUCAUGCUGAUCA